UACGUAGGGUGCAAGCGUUGUCCGGAAUUAUUGGGCGUAAAGAGCUCGUAGGCGGUUUGUCGCGUCUGCUGUGAAAACCCGAGGCUCAACCUCGGGCCUGCAGUGGGUACGGGCAGACUAGAGUGCGGUAGGGGAGAUUGGAAUUCCUGGUGUAGCGGUGGAAUGCGCAGAUAUCAGGAGGAACACCGGUGGUGUAGGCGGCUAUCUGGACCGUAACUGACGCUGAGGCACGAAAGCGUGGGUAGCAAACAGG
rnacentral:rRNA from 1 species